CUGGGCCUGGGCAGACAAGCAGGUAGACCAGGUCCAACAGGAUAAGAUCUGGAGAGUCUGUGGAGGCUGAACAGAGGGGAAGGAGAAUCUGCCCGAGGAAAGCAAAGGACAGAAAAAUCAAAGGACUUGCCCUGCAGUCCCACACCAGGGUAAGAGAAAGGAGCAGAAGCCACUGCCAAAUUGUAUGUCUGUGUUCUCAAGCAAAGUUCCCAACUCAACCAACCAAACUACUGGCAGCCAAAUGAAUACUGAGCUUGGCAGGGCUCUGGUAAAUAUGAAUUCUUCAGCAGUGCUGCACGAAAGAGGAAACUUGAGGAAAACUUCAUGUUUGUGUCAAUGAAGGACAGAUGGGUCUCCAUGUAACUUGGGAAUUCUGCUGAAAGCUGAAGAGGUGCUGGCACAGGCCUGCCCACAGCCCUCUUCUGUCACAGGGAAUAGACUGACUGACUUCAGCUCGUGACCUCUCCAAAGCUGUGUGAACCUACGUAUCUGCACAACUGCCAGCACUUAAAAAUGGAAUUUCCAAGUGUCUGGGAAAGCCUCAUGUCAGCACAAGGCCUUUAUGCUAGGUUGAUGGAGGAAAACUACUGCAAAUUUCUACUAACUGUCUCUUAACCCAGAGGAAAGUCUCAGCUGGCAUAUAAUGAUUGAUAAAUUGCAUUAAGAAGUAAUGUCCAAAUAAACUGGCACAAUAAAUAUAAAAAUG
ensembl:lncRNA